CCACUAUGAGCACUAUAACAAAGAAGUAAUUUUAGUGUUUGUUUAUCCUCGUUAAAGUGUCUUUCAAGACACAUCUGUUUCUUUGUUUGUUUUUAAUAAUUAGCGAGAAAUAUAUCCGUCGGCGGUGUAAUUUUUUGUGGUGUGUUAUCUGCAUAAGCAGUCAUAUUCGGAUUAAAUGGUCGAGUUAAAUCAGCAAUUGAUGAUAUAUUAAAGUUUAAUGGCCUUUGUGUUGUGUUACCUCCACUGUCUGUGCCAUUACGACGAACCAGUUUACCCAGGCUCACUAAAAUGCGAUAAAACUCAUAUUCAACAAAAGCGUCAACAAUUCGACGAUUAAUUGACUUUAAUGUAGAAACUAGUAGAUUGUUUAAAAACAAUUCAUAUAAUAUUCUGUCAAUGAUGUUGCCUUCCUCGGUUGGUGGACUUACAGGUGGUUCAAAAGAUUCUUCACUGUGGUUUACUGUAAAACAAGAGGAAAUUAUGAACAAUGUGAAUGAUACUGUAAUAAUCGACAUUUUGGAUUAACAAUAACUGAAAAAUUGAUUCUCUCAUCAAUAAGUAUAACUACCAGAGCCCCUAUGUGCACCAGGAAUUCCCAAUCAUGCAAUUGUUUCACUGGAUCACUAUUUUAACCUAAAUUGUAUCAAGCAAAGUAAAAGGGAAAUUUAAAGGCUAAUCACUGUUUAAAUUGGUAAAUCAACAGUCGGUAAUAAACUGGACACAGUUUAUCAGCAACAUAAACAAAGGUUGACCGAGUUAGAUUCAACGGGUUGCCGAAAAUUGGAUUAGCUACUGAAACUCAAUUUUAAAUCCAUUCAAGCUAAGCGCCUUUCAAUGUUUUCCCUCUCUUUUCAACUCGUUACUUAGGUGACAGUUAUGACUUGUCGCUCUUGUUUCAUUUUUUGUUAGCUCUACAAAUUAUCACCCAAUUGUUUUGGCCGCUAAUUGUUAAAAUUAAAUCCUUUCCAUGUGUUGUCUGCUAGUAAUUAACAUUAGUUUCUUGUCUUCAUUUACUUUUUGGUGACUUGUUGGUUUUUGGUUUAUACAGAACGAUGUAAGACAACAUCAACAUGCAACGCAAUGAAAGUUUAUUUUAUUGAACUAAAAGUGUUUUUACAGAUGAUCCUGGGAAGUUUUUCUUCUACUUUCAGAAAUCAAUUUGCUGAUAACAACAAUUGUUUGAUGGCUAUGAAUCAAUGGAAACACUGUGGUGACUGUGAAGAUGACGAUAUCGAGACGAGGAUGACAAAAAUGAUGAGCGCUACUUUCCCAGGCCAUUGAAAAGGAGAUUAUCUUUUUUUGCUUCCCUGUUUCUCUCUUCAAACUUACUCGUUUCUUACUGAAUCAGAUGAUGAGGAUAAUAAUGAUGAAGAAGAUGCCCGCGAUGGUGAGGUUGCCUCCGUGGCUGAGGUCACACUCCAAGAUCAAGAUCACUUAAAUACAAUUGUAUUUAGUGUUAUCUCAAGUAUCAAUCAACAUCAUCAACAAGCCUCCAAUAAAGCGAAGGGAAAAAGUGACUUUACUGGUUCCUACUGCAAAAUGAAAGGAAACAAGCGUUUCUCUCUUCUCUCUCUCUUCAUUACAUUAUCAUCAAUAUUAUCAUCAUUGACGUUAUUAUUAUUGUUAUUAUUUCUGCUACAAUAAUUUGUGCAUGCAUUUUCUGGUCCUCUUCUCGCAAAAAAGGGCACCAAUAAUUUGUAAAUUAUUGUUAAUGUUCUAGUACUUGAUGUAGGUGGCAAAGGGUGACAAAAGCAAGGUUACUCGUUACUUGGUGGGAGGGUGAGAGGAUUCAUCUUAAGAUGACUUACUUCAAUUUCAUGGGAAAUGAAAGUUUUAUUGCAUCUUUGGAGGAACAUUUGUUUUUCUAUCUAAUCAAGCUUUAGCGGUGGUGACCAUCUUGUGAUAAUUGGUCACUUUUACCUUUUUUGUUGCCCUUAUAGCAGUGAGAACCCAUUUUCAGCCGAAAACCUCGUUUAAAUUAUUCAUGUUUCAACUGGAGAAACACUUUAAGUCGCGAUUAUCUCUCAGAUUAACCUCAAGGAUUGACUUACAAGUCUAGAGUUAAACUCUCGGUCUCUUUAUUUCCUGUGAAUUCAAGCCUGGAGGAUUACUUACAGAAAGCUUCAAAAAAUGGCCAUUCCUUUGUAAAACCGCCCGAUUCUCUGUCUCAUUUCCAAAUGUAAACUUCAUUUUCAUUUGCAUCAUUUCUUGUCACUAAUUUGAUUAAUAAUACUCAUAAUUAUUAGAGCUUUGCAGCUAUUAUUUAAAUUUAAUAUCUCAAAAUAUUCCUGAGUUUGAUUGUUACUAAUCUGUUCAGGCAAAAUUGUAACAUUUAAUUACAAACAAAUCUAUCAUAACUCACAAAAAUGAGUAAGUGCACAUAAUUUGCUUUGAAGGUUACAAUACAAUCACGCAUUAUGAUAAAAAUUAAUUAAUUAAUUGAUUGAUUCGCUUACAUUCAGACAAUUGUAGCACUAAACUGAUAAUAUAGCUCAUGAUUAAAAAGGCUAAUAUUAGAGGAACUACAAGAUUGUCUAUUUUUGCUGUAAUUUGUAUUGAUCAAUAUAAAAUCCUAACACCUUUUACAA